AGCAGCCGCGGUAAUUCCAGCUCCAAUAGCGUAUAUUAAAGUUGUUGCAGUUAAAAAGCUCGUAGUUGAAUUUCGGGGUCAGUAGGUCGGUCGUGCCACUGGUAUGAACUGGUUUUACUGAUUCCUCCCUCUUGAAGAACUGUAAUGCCAUUAAUUUGGUGUUGCAGGGAAUCAGGACUGUUACUUUGAAAAAAUUAGAGUGUUUAAAGCAGGCUUUAGCUUGAAUACAUUAGCAUGGAAUAAUGAAAUAGGACGUUUGAUCCUAUUUUGUUGGUUUCUAGGAUUGACGUAAUGAUUAAUAGGGAUAGUUGGGGGCAUUAGUAUUCAAUUGUCAGAGGUGAAAUUCUUGGAUUUAUUGAAGACUAACUACUGCGAAAGCAUUUGCCAAGGAUGUUUUCAUUAAUCAAGAACGAAAGUUAGGGGAUCGAAGACGAUCAGAUACCGUCGUAGUCUUAACCAUAAACUAUGCCGACUAGGGAUCGGAUGAUGUUAAUUUUUUUAAUGACUCAUUCGGCGCCUU
rnacentral:sRNA from 1 species